rnacentral:rRNA from 1 species
UGAGCAACCUGCCCUUAGCUCUGGGAUAACCCCGGGAAACCGGGGCUAAUACCGGAUAUGAGUCCGAGCGGCAUCACGCGGACUGGAAAGUUUUUCGGCUAAGGAUGGGCUCGCGGCCUAUCAGCUUGUUGGUGGGGUAAUGGCCUACCAAGGCGACGACGGGUAGCCGGCCAGAGAGGGCGACCGGCCACACUGGGACUGAGACACGGCCCAGACUCCUACGGGAGGCA